rnacentral:rRNA from 1 species
AAAGCGUGCGCAGGCGGUUAUGUAAGACAGAUGUGAAAUCCCCGGGCUCAACCUGGGAACUGCAUUAGUGACUGCAUAGCUGGAGUACGGCAGAGGGGGAUGGAAUUCCGCGUGUAGCAGUGAAAUGCGUAGAUAUGCGGAGGAACACCGAUGGCGAAGGCAAUCCCCCGGGCCUGUACUGACGCUCAUGCACGAAAGCGUGGGGAGCAAACAGGAUUAGAUACCCCGGU